UACGGAGGGUGCAAGCGUUAUCCGGAUUCACUGGGUUUAAAGGGUGCGUAGGUGGGUCUGUAAGUCAGUGGUGAAAUCUCCAAGCUUAACUUGGAAACUGCCGUUGAUACUAUAGACCUUGAAUGUUGUGGAGGUGAGCGGAAUAUGUCAUGUAGCGGUGAAAUGCUUAGAUAUGACAUAGAACACCAAUUGCGAAGGCAGCUCACUACACAAAGAUUGACACUGAGGCACGAAAGCGUGGGGAUCAAACAGG
rnacentral:rRNA from 1 species